AGCGAGUUAACUUCAGUGGUAGAAUAAAGGGUUCAUAUCCCUUUACGCGAUGGUUCGAUUCCAUCACUCGCCU
rnacentral:tRNA from 1 species